UACGUAGGGUGCAAGCGUUGUCCGGAAUUAUUGGGCGUAAAGAGCUCGUAGGCGGUCUGUCGCGUCGGCUGUGAAAACCCGGAGCUCAACUCCGGGCCUGCAGUCGAUACGGGCAAACUGGAGUGUUGCAGGGGAGACUGGAAUUCCUGGUGUAGCAGUGAAAUGCGCAGAUAUCAGGAGGAACACCGGUGGCGAAGGCGGGUCUCUGGGCAACAACUGACGCUGAGGAGCGAAAGCGUGGGGAGCGAACAGG
rnacentral:rRNA from 1 species